ensembl:snRNA U6 U6 spliceosomal RNA
GUGUUUCAGCAGUGCAUAUACUAAAAUUGGAACGAUGCAGAGAAGACUAGCAUGGCCCCUGCACAGUGCCUUUUUUUAUGAUACUGUUUU